rnacentral:rRNA from 1 species
CUUGCUCUCGGGUGACGAGCGGCGGACGGGUGAGUAAUGUUUGGGAAAAUGCCUGAUGGAGGGGGAUAACUACUGGAAACGGUAGCUAAUACCGCAUAACGUCGCAAGACCAAAGUGGGGGACCUUCGGGCCUCAUGCCAUCAGAUGUGCCCAGAUGGGAUUAGCUGGUAGGUGGGGUAACGGCUCACCUAGGCGACGAUCCCUAGCUGGUUUGAGAGGAUGACCAGCCACACUGGAAAUGAGACACGGUCCAGAAUCCUACGGGAGGCAGCAGUGGGGAAUAUUGCACAAAGGGCGCAAACCUGAAGCAGCCAUGCCGCGUGUGUGAAGAAGGCCUUCGGGUUGUAAAGCACUUUCAGCGGGGAGGAAGGCGGUGAGGUUAAUAACCUCACCGAUUGACGUUACCCGCCGAAGAAGCCCCGGCUUACUCCGUGCCCGCCACCGCG